AUCUACGUCGGCGUCCGCGCCGCGAUAACCGUAGUAAUUCGUAGGGCUAAUACGUGACGAAGCGCCGAAGCCGCGAGGCGACGGCGUUCUCGCCGGAUGUAGGAACCGACCCGGGGGACCGCCGGGGCAACCCGGCGCCCCCGAGACGGGGCGAACCACGGUGAAAUGACGGAUCGUCGGCCCCGCGCCGGCGACUCGCCGAAUGAGUUUCUGACCUAUCAACUCGAGACGGCGGGGUAGAGGCCCGCCGCGGUAACGACGGGUAACGGGGAAUCAGGGUUCGAUUCCGGAGAGGGAGCCCGAGAAACGGCUACCACUUCCAAGGAAGGCAGCAGGCGCGCAACUUACCCUAAUCUCGAUUCGAGGAGGUAGUGACAAGAAAUACCGAUGCGGGACCCUACGGGUGCCGCGUUCGGAAUGAA
rnacentral:rRNA from 1 species